rnacentral:rRNA from 1 species
GACGAACGCUGGCGGCGUGCCUAAUACAUGCAAGUCGAACGCACUCUCGUUUAGAUUGAAGGAGCUUGCUCCUGAUUGAUAAACAUUUGAGUGAGUGGCGGACGGGUGAGUAACACGUGGGUAACCUGCCCUAAAGUGGGGGAUAACAUUUGGAAACAGAUGCUAAUACCGCAUAAAACCUAAACACCGCAUGGUGUAGGGUUGAAAGAUGGUUUCGGCUAUCACUUUAGGAUGGACCCGCGGUGCAUUAGUUAGUCGGUGAGGUAAAGGCUCACCAAGACCGUGAUGCAUAGCCGACCUGAGAGGGUAAUCGGCCACACUGGGACUGAGACACGGCCCAGACUCCUACGGGAGGCAGCAGUAGGGAAUCUUCCACAAUGGACGAAAGUCUGAUGGAGCAAACGCCGCGUGAGUGAAGAAGGUUUUCGGAUCGUAAAACUCUGUUGUUGGAGAAGAAUGUAUCUGAUAGUAACUGAUCAGGUAGUGACGGUAUCC